AUGGCCGACGCGGGUCAAAGUGUUCUUAAUAUGUUCUUAUCAGCUCAAUAUCUGAUACGGGUUGUAUUUGGACCGAAGAUAUUAAACUUAUUUUUGAAAGUUGGCGGAGUACUUGAAGCCUGUUUCAUCCCCGCCUCGGGUCGGCCCGCUAUUGCACAUUCUUCGGGAUCGGCCCACGAUUU